CGGAACGUAGCCAAGUGGCAUGGCGCCCGCUUUGGGAGCGGGAGAGCGCAGGUUCGAUCCCUGCCGUUCCGA
rnacentral:tRNA from 1 species